UUUUUGGGGGGGGGGUUCCUCUAUGUAUCCCUGGCUGCCCUGGAACUCACUCUGUAGACCAGGCUGGCCUUGAACUCAGAGAUCUGCUUCCCAAGCACUGGGAUUAAAGGUGUGUGUUACCAGGGCCCAGCUUUCUUGACUUCGAAAUUAUUAACUCAUUCCCUAAUCACAUUUCCUCUUCUCUACAUCACAAAAAUGGGAAAAGGAAUAAUAAAUCAAGUGAUUUGUUCUGGCUCAAAAACUAAAUGUGUAGAAAUGUCAGAAAUCCCAACGAUUUUGAUUAAGUUAGGUUAUAAACUCAAGUCUGCUAUUAUUAUUAAAAACCUCAGAACACUUGGUCAAGAAAUAGAUUGGAAAAAAUAGGUUGGGUUUGCAUUUGAAAUUUACCACCUACUUCCACCUACUUUGUGUGCUGGACUAGCAGUUUGUCCACUAGAUGGCACUGUUUCCCAGGAAGAUGAAAUGUACAAUUGAAGACAGGAGAUCAGGAAAUCAUGGAAAGACAGAAAAGCACCAAGGACAAAAGCGAAGUUCUAAUGUACAGGUAUCUUUCUUCAGAGUUACAAGGUGCGGAAACUAACUAAAUAUGUAGUAUCAAUAAAAAGGAGAUGUUUUACAAUCACUUUUUAGUCAAAACCACAGAAAUCAUGUGGUUUGUAUGGAUAACCUUCCAUCCAAUUAAAUUCAUUAACCUAUAACCUGAGCAGUAGUACCUAAACCAACUGACUCCUUAUUAAGCCAAUUUACCACCUACAAAGUUCACCUUUUUGACCCCUGGCAUGCUGUUUUCUGGUUUUACCGACCAGGGAACCACUCCACAGCAACUUCGCCUCAUGUCUUAUGCCCAAACCCUAUAUAACUGUCCCAUAUGAAAAUAAACAUAACAGAAUCAUGGCUUUUACUGUAUCUCUACUAUAUCAGUAGAUACAAAAAGGUAUGUGCUGAAUGCAUUUAAAUCCAUCUGAUGAAAAACAAAACCACAGCAACAAAACAAACAAACUCAAAGGACAAUUUGAAGACACUGCCAAAUUGCAAUUCCAUAGCUCCUUCACUGCUUCACUGUUACUGUGGAGGACGGAUGUACACAAUAAUAAUAAUAAUAGGUCAAUAAUAUCAGGUUAUAGAGUGGGAUUGCUCAACACUGAAGCAAAUGGCUAAAAGUUCUGUUCCUGGUUUUAUCAGCUCUACCUCCGUGCUCAAGAGUCUCACCAGUGGAUAGGCCUACUGACUGGAUAGAGCAGAGCAGACCCAGAACGUUUCCACCACCCUUGGACAGAGUGGCAAGGCACAUAGCUGUGUCAAAGUGGUUGGUGACUACAAAACAUUCAUUACCCUUCCCACCCUGUGCACCUGAAGGCUCCUCAAAAAAGGACAGAGAGUAGUUACAAUAAUAUUGAGAAUGAACACAAUUACCAUGGGGACCAACCACAUAAGCUCCAAGAUUCCUCAAAUAGAGAGCUAUGGAGAGUCGGCCCACAGUACGGACACAGCAUCGAGACAGAGCCCACAGAACUGUCUUUACCCCAGAGCCUUUUCCUGAAAGCAAUCCCAAGUGUUUGACCCCUGAGGCAAAAAAGGUUCCUGUGACAUGCCCUCUAUUUUCAGAUUAUUUUCACUUAAGCAAUAGGGAACUUGUACUCAUCUGAUUUCUCCUGAAAAUUUGUUGGUCUUUUAAAAGGUUUCAUGCCUUUUUUUUUUUUUUUUUGUAAAGACACUAAUUAUUUAGCUAACCUUAGUGCCACAUUCAUCAGCCUUCUUCCUAGGCCUUCCAAGAGCUGGAAAGAUGGCUAUGUGCCUGGCCUAUAAUUCCUCUUUCCCCAGGUGACAUUCUCAAACAACUAACCUUUCGAUGGUAUGAAAAGUUCUAAAACCUAACAAUACUUCAAACCAACCAAUUUAGCACUUGGGAUUUACAACCAGUGACACUUCCUCCAGAACUCUCUUUAUGUCUGUCUACUCAGACUAAAUGGUUCUAGCCUCUCUGCCUCUUGUCAAUUUUGGAGACCUUUCACCUCUGUACUAACUGUCCUGUCCUUCAGCAGGCUUGCUCUUGCUUGGAAAGCUGUAGUCCCUACCUCCUCAACUCAAUGCUUUGCCUUCCUCACUGACACCACAUGGGCAUCCAGAAUGAAAGAGACAGAAAAGCAGUAUGGGCAGGAGGACUCCUCUCCAGCCACAUGUCCUUCAGUGCUCCAGAAUCUGUGCUGCUAUUUGAAGCCUCAUUCUGCAUGUGUAUGUUCAUGUCCACAACAAACCACAACAUAUAGGCCUUUUGAGCCCUACUUACACACUGAAGAGGAACUAAGUAUGUAAGUGAAGAAUCCUAUGUCCAUGUAAACUAAUAUGCUGCAGAGAGAGAAAAAGGCAUUCUCCUCAGUGGUGCAGCCACUGGCAAGUUGACCAUGUUCCUUCUGUAAGUAACUCCUUCCCCAAGUGUUUGUCCUUAUCCUGACUGGUUAAAUCCUCCCUCCCUUCAAAUCAGCAAAGUAAGAGGUUAGGUGGUAGGGCUCUACCCUCGGUGAUACCUCUUCAGGAGCAGAAUUUUAGCAGUACAUUACCACUUGGAGGAUGACUCUUUUAUCUAAGCCUGUGGCCUCCUGUGGCAGACUCUUGGGUCUCAUUUUCAGAGUUUCAUGGCAGUCUCAUCUAUUUCUAUUAAGUUUGUCCAUCGGGAAUGUGAAGGAGUAGGUGAGGCUGCACCCUCACCGACAGAAGCCAGGCAGUGGUGGUGCACACCGUUGAUCCCAGCACUGGAGAGGUAGAGGCAGGUGGAUCUCCAGGUUCAAGUCCAGCCUAAUCUACAGAGCUAGUUAAGGGACAGCCAGGGUUACACAAAGAAACCUUGUUUUGAAAAACCAACCACAAGUUCCCACACACACACAAAAGAAAAGGCGCCCCAGGUCUGUCAUGCUUGGAAUGACAAAAGGGAAAGUAAUAAAAUCUUUAGUUUGUUUAUGGGAAGAAAAAAGAAAAGCAAACAAACCAGAAGUAUUCAAAUAAUGUGGUCCUACAGUUAGAUAUUUAUUUUAUUACUCUAAACACAAUCAAAAUCUUUCUUUUGAAAUGCAGUAAAAUUGAGGGGUAUUCUGUAAAUUACCACAUUUAAGCUUUCUUCUAGUAGACUACUAAACUACUAAAAGUAUCUGACUACUAGACUACUAAAAGUAUACAGACUAUUUAAUUACUUGUUUCCUUAUGGAAGGAAAAACAAAGAGAGGCUCUUAAAGCCUCUUAAUAAACAAGCGAUAUUCUGAAUGUGAAUUUUUUUCUGUACUGAAAAGUAUGUAAAUUGUAAAUGGCUCCAAGCUAUCCACUGGCCCUUGAAUGGGAGGGAGGCUUACUGAGUACCUGCAAGCCAGGCAUGGAAGACAGGAGUCAGAAGCAUCUCCUUAGCUAAUACUGUUCCUAUGGCACAGACCAGUCUCUGCGGUAUACAUGGUGGAAGAUAAGCACUAACAAGGUGUCUGUAAAUAUCUGAAGCACUGAGAAGAUUCGUAUCAAGUACAAAACAUAAGACAGUUAUGCAAAAGAAAAAAGGGGGAAAUAAAACUCAACACAUAAUAUGGUCACAGAGUCACUGAGAAUGAAGGAAAAGAUGGCACCCCGAGCCCAGACUUGCAGUGGGAAUGGUAAGUAGUACCCAAACCCAUGGGUCAACAGGGAAGAUUACUAUUACAACACAAUGGGCAGGUCGGCACAAUCCUUUAAUCCCAGCACUCAGGAGACAGGCAGGUGGGUCUCUGUUAAGUUCCUGAACAACCAAGACUAUACAAUGAGUUUCUACAAGGUUUUGGGGGAAAUACACCAAGAGGAACAUUACAGAUAACAGCAUACAUUUUCCAGUAAGACACCAACCUACAGAAUUAAGAAGCAUACUUUGUCCCAAAGUUCUGGAACAUAAAAAAUGAAGAUAGCCUAAGCACUUGCGCAAGUGCACACACAUCAUAUAUUAAGUUAAAAGAUCUGAAACAAAAGUUAAGAAAUCUAGCUGUGUGAAUAAUAUUUAUAGGAGAUACAGAUAAAAAAUUCUGGAGAGAAAAUUCGCAAGAAAUAAAUGGAAAAUACAAACCAGGGCUGGAGAUAUGGCUCAGCCUUUAAAGAAAAGGCUAACCUUGCAAAGGAUUCAGGUUUGAACCUCAGCAUACAUACACAUAAAGACUUGUAAUCAUCUAAGUGUCGUUUCAGAGGAUCUAACACCCUCUUUUGAUUUCUUCAGGCACCAAGCUUGUAUAGGGUAUACAUACAUCCAUGCAGGCAAAACAUUCAUGCACAUAAAAUGAAAUCUAAAACAGAAAAUAGACUAAGACAAAAAAAAUCAAAACUAAAAAAAUUAUUAGACAUAGAUCACUAAACAGAGUUUAACAACAACACCACCAACAACAAAAUACACGUUCUGUUCAUAUGAUUGAACAAGGAGCCUCCAAACAGAAGGCAAACAUUAAAGACUCAUGAAAGUAAAUCAGCAAGGCCACCAUGACAGUUGUAUAUUUUACUGUGCUUCUUUUAAUGUUCUGUAAAGACACGAUAUCCAGGACAUGCAGGUAAGAAGGCUGACUAGAAAGUAGGUGCAUACAUACAUUUGCAAGUGUGUGCAGUAAGUACUGUACAUGGAACCCAGGCCUUAGAAAGGGUUAGGCUCUACCUCUGAUCUGGACCCUAGCCAAACAUGAACUUUUUAAGCCAAGCUGAAAAAGUUAUAAAAGUUGAUGAAAUUAAGCAAACAGAAUAUCAUGUUAAGUGGAGAUUGUAUGGAGAAACAAUUGACCUCAGGUCCUCUGAAGAGCAGCAAGUACUCAACCACCAAGCCAUUUCUUUAGUUCCAAUUUCAAGGGUUUUAAAACAAACACUUGCUGGGCAAUGGUAGUAAGCCUUUAAUACCAGAGCUCAGGAGGCAGAGGCAGGAAGGUCUCUUUGAAUUCAAAGCCAGCCUGGUCUACAGAGUGAGUUCUAGGACAAACAGGAAGGGUUACAUGAGGAAACCUUGUCUCAAAUAUAAAUUUGUUUUCUUUAAAGAUUUAUUUUUUACCUAUGUAUGUAUCUGUGUGGGUGUCUGCCUGAGUGUAUCCUACAGGAACGUGGUCUCAUGGAAACCAUUAGAGGUGCCAGGUGCACUGGAGUUAUAUAUAAGUGAUUGUGAGGCCCUCCACCACUUGUUUUUAAUUUUUUUUUCUAUUCUUUUUUUUUUGGAGCUGGGGAUCGAACCCAGGGCCUUGCACUUGCUAAGCAAGCAUUCUACCACUGAGCCAAAUCCCCAACCCUUGUUUUUAAUUUUUAUACACAUUUAAGCACAGGUUAGUUGAGGGGGUGGUCAUGAAGAAAGGGAAUGGGAGGGGAGGAGAAAAGAAGGGGACGUAAGGAAGAGCAGACUUUAAAUCCUGACUGCAGUUUUCCCUCUCCUCUUCUCCCAGUUUCUCCCCACCACCUUCCUUCUCCCCUAGACCCAUUUCUCCAUUUCUCUUAGGAAAAUAACAGGCCUUCCUCCCAGGGAUAUCAAUGGAGUAUCAUGUUGAAAUCAUAUUAAAGCUGGACAAGACAACCAAGUAGGAGGAAAAGGGUUCUAUAAACUAGGCAAAGAGUCAGAGAUAACCCCUACUCACACUGUUUAGGUAUCCCACAAGAACACUAAGCUACAUAACCACAACAUGUAUGCAGAGGACCUAGCUCAGACCCAAACAGGAUCCCUGGUUGUCAGUUCAGUCUCUGUUAAGCCCCUAUAAGCCCUGGUUAGUUGAUUCUGGGGUUCAUUUUCUUGUGGUGUCCUUGAACCCUCUAGCUCCUACAAAGGAUUAAGUUCUUUAUUAAGACUGAGAAGAUGUUAUUGAAGGGUUAAAAUUUCUAAAAGUUAGUCAUGAACAAAGUCCAGACAUGCCUGAGAGAAUUUGAGAUAGGGCUCACUGGCCCGACUAUCAACUCCCAAGGACACUGGCCAUCUGGAGCCACCCCCUCCCCUUCCUUCACUCCCUGAGGAUGGGUCAUCCCCCUGCUGCAGUGAGAUGAGUUGCCCUGCCCACAUUGCUGAGAUGCUAGAUUACACGUAUGCUUUGUUGAUGUAACUCCGUGCCAAAAGUAACUGUGCACCCUUUGUAUUAGCCAAUUAUGUGUAUUCACACGAAACCCCUGGUUUUCCCUAUAUAAGCUCCUGCCUAGAGAGGCUCGGGGCUUGACUCAAUCUCCUGUGUGAGAUACGUGUCAGCCCGAGAUCUCGUAAAUAAAACUGCCUCUUGUUGAUUACAUCAAGACCGGCUUCUCGUGUUUCCUGGGGGUACCUCAACCCGUGACUGGAGCGAGAGUCUCCCCAAGUCUGGGGGUCUUUCAUUGGGGGCUCGUCCGGGAUAGGAGCGUAACCCCCGGAGAUCCAAAUGCCUCUUGGAGGUACGUUAGUGUGAGUGCUGGAAAGCGGCCAUUGUGUGAGUGUGAGAGUAGUGUGUGUGUGAAUUAAGUCCUGUAGUCUGUGUUUUUCAGUACCGGUUUAAGGUCUUGGUGCACUGUCUGGGCAGAAGAAGACUCCCCACUCCGUUGUUUUUGAGUGCACUCGAGUGGAUGGGCUUCCCACUCUGUUGUUUUUGAGUGUACUCGGGUGGAGGGCUUCCCACCCCGUUGUUGUUGAGUGCACUCGGGUGGAUGGGCUUCCCACCCAUUGUUUUUGAGUGCACUCGAGUGGAUGGGCUUCCCACUCUGUGUUGUUUUUGAGCGCACUCGGGUGGAUGGGCUUCCCACCCAUUGUUUUUGAGUGCACUCGAGUGGAUGGGCUUCCCACUCUGUGUUGUUUUUGAGCGCACUCGGGUGGAUGGGCUUCCCACCCCGUUGUUUUUGAGUACACUCGGGUGGAUGGGCUUCCCACCCCGUUGUUUUUGAGUUCACUCGGGUGGAUGGGCUUCCCACCCCGUUGUUUUUAAGUACACUUGGGUAGAUGGGCUUCCUACCCCGUAUUUAAGUGUGCUUGGAUGGAAGGGCUUCCCACCCCGGACAGACGCCUGUGAGUAGGUACUGGGUUUCUACUUCGAAUAGCUGUUUUCUUUUUGUUCUUUUUUUAGAUAGCGGAAGUGAGGACGCCCCAGCUCUGGGAGACGUCCCACGAGCCGACUUUUGUCGGGAGGACCCGGCAGGUGACAGUCAAAGAGAUCUGACUGUGACUUGACUUCGGAGGUCGUGUUCGGCUGCCUAUUUAAGUAUAGGCAUGGACAAGUGUGCUUAGAUGUGUUAGUGUCUGUUGUCUGUAUUCUGUUUCUGUGUUUGGUAUCCCAGAAGCAGCUAAGGUUAAGCUGCAGUUUGGGCCAGGUACUGAAGGUACCAGGCAUCUGUGGAAAUUGGUUAUAGGAUGCUUUGUUUUGGGUCUUGUUUGUCUGGUUUGUUUUCUGUGGUAUUGUCCAGUGUCUUUUUGGCUUUUGUUUCGUUUUUGGACUUGGACUGACAACUGUGUUUGAAAUCUUGGACUGACGACUGUGUUUGAAAUCAUGAAACUGUUUGCUUUGUUUAUCAAGGAGUUUUACUUGGUCCUCUUGGUGCUUAACUUAAAAGUUAAAAAUAAUUUGCUUGAGAGAAAUUGUUUUCUGCCGGGGAGUUUUAUCUUUCUCUCUUGAGCCUCCUCCCCAAGGAGAGCUGCCCCUCUCUUUACUCCCAUUGUCCAGCCCAGCUGCUGUUAACCGUUGUGUAUGAAGGACUCCAGGUUAGCGAGUGAUCCGUCUGAAGCAGGCAUUAACAAGAACCUGAAAGCUUUACCUUAGAUCCUGAAGAAAAAUUCUCCCUGUUGCUUAAACAUUCACAGCUUCUAAGGAAGGGACAACACAGAGUAGGAAAAUGUAGGGGCUGAGGGUGGUGAGCAUACAGGCCUGCUAGCAAGCUACAGGCUGCGCGUGGGCAGCAGCGCAGCUCUGGCCAAGCCAGUGUAAGAGGAGUUUCAAGGUAAGGAGGCUGGCUGGGGUUGGCGCUUUGACAACAAAGAUAGCGUAGAGUUGGUGGUUGUAUUAUGAGACUUUUGGCCCUGAAAAAAAAAAAAAUUCCAGUUGCUGCCUUCAGUGGCCAGACCUUCAACACUUGCUCACAAAAGGAGAGUGUUCAUUAAGAGAAGUUCUUUAAGGGAGCCUGCCUUAUCUGCUGGCCCUAUUCCAAGAGAGGAGUUGAUCUCCAACAUUAAGUAACCUUCCCUGUUAGUCAUCAUUGACAUGGAGAGUGCCUUUGAUCCUAUCCCCACAGCGGCCAGUUCCUGCCCCUGUGGUCAAAAUGCCCCAGGUUGGGGGGCAGAGAAGCCCCUAAAAUAGUUUCAAAGAAUCUGCAACAAACUGUGAAGAACUUUGUUUUGCCAGUCAAAAUUUAGAAUUCAGUCUUUGGCUGUGGCCAAGGUCAGGAUUAAUGUUUUCUUUUCCAAGGGCCUUUAACUCAGUGAGACAGCUUGGUAAAGGACUACUACUACAGUCCUGAUAGCCCCAGGUGAACUGGUUACAAUUCUUUUGUCAGCCACUUAGUAUCUAACACCCAGGUUCUAACCCUCUCUCCAUCCUUUUGUUAUUAGUUCUCACUAGAAGCCUAGUGUCCUUCAGAGGCUGAGUUUAUUGAGACAGAGCCACUGAGCUGACACUGAAGGGAGGUACUUCUUAAGUAAAAUCUAAGUCCAGAGAGAUAGUCGAUAACAGAUCAGCUGCCUCUCUGCUUGCCUUUCUGUUUCACAGGAACAAAGCUUGUGCUUAUUUCUACAACGGCCUUUUUGUCCCAAGAAGGCCUCCUGGUUUAGCUGUGUGACUAAAUGCUAUUUGUCCUCUUCAGUGGACCUCUAUUCUCAAGAUUCCCUUGUUUUCUCACCAUCCCAUUUGAGAUGCUUGUUAGUAACUGUUACAGGUCUUCUUUACCACCGAGGAAAGACGGAAUCCUACUAGAGGCCAGAAAAAAAAAUGUUCCAGACAUGGAUGGAAGGCCCUCACUUCUGCCUGUUGACUUCAAAACGCCUAAAGGUAGGGAGUGCCAGGUCUGCCGCCAGGCUCCAAGGGUGGGUCUCAGAGGGGCUAGAAAAUGCCCCACCAAUUUGGCUAAAGUAAGAAAAACAUAUAAAGAAAAAGUUACAGAAACUUGAAGGGUUAAGCUAAGUCACUGAGAGAGUUGUUGUAAGUUGCAGAGAAAAUAAGGUUGAUAUAUGGUUCAGGGUCGGUGCACAAAAGUAGACAGCAACUAAUAGCUGUAGAAGAAGAUACAGACAGAGAGACUGAGGAAGAGAAAGAGACAAGAGAGGAACAUAUACUGGCCACAGUAGUUAGGGAACCUAGGAAGAUAGUACCUGGCAACAGAAGAGAAUUCCUGGCUAAAGAUCGGUGUGCCUAAUAUGAAGAAAAAGGACACUGGGUCAGGGACUGCCCAAGAAAGAACAAGAGGGGCCACUGGAGAGCUUCUUGGUCCUAGAGUGCUGGCUAUGUACAGAGAUAGAAGGGAAGUGUGGAUACAGGGACCCAAUGCUCUGUGCUCCUAUGCCCCCCCCCCCAGUGGGUCAAUAUCCAAAGACCUUGAGUGCAAGGGGCUACUGACAACGAACAAUACUCAUGGACUGCCCGAAGAACAGUGGACCUUGGCGUGGGCCGGGUAACCCACCCACUAGUUCAUGGUCAUCCCUGACUGCCCCUAUCCCUUGCUCAUGAGAAAAUUGCUCUCCAAAAUGGCUUGUGUGGGCUAAAAUGGCUGGGUGAGGCCAUGUGUAUGCAUAUCUACAGACUGUGUAUGUGGAGCUUAAGACCUGUCUCAGUGCACCAGUACCUGAUGCUGGGAGAUGUGUGUGUGUGGCUUAGUGCCGUUCUGCCUGGAACACAUCAUUCCUGCUAGCCGGGCUCUGACAAUUAUCACCCAAUCCAGGACUUAAACUGCGGUAGAGUGGCUGAUGUUUUGCCUUUAAAUAAAAUGUCCCAGAGGAUGGGAUCACUGAUCAGCUGACAUGGACUAGAUUCUCCACCUGUUGGGGGCAAUCUGGUCACCUUGCUGCCCAAUCCUGACCUGGAGCCACCACAGCACAAGUGUCAAGCACUGGCAGAAGCCCAUGGGUGGAGGAAAGACCUCUGUGACUGGCUGAUUGACCCCUGCUGAAAGCCGAAGACCUUGUCCACAGACGGGAACAGUUCUCUUCAUGAAGGUCAGAGAUAAGUGGGUGCUGCCAUGGUGGACAACACAGUGUCAUCUGGGAUGGCUGAACUUCUACCCCCCAGCACAUCAGCGCUGCAGAUGCCUUUACCAUCUCUUGGAUGCCCUGGUGAAGCCAACAACUGCCUACAAGAGACAGCCACUGGGAACUGGGAUUGGACUAAGAGACGGCCUCUACAAUCAUCAAGAAGAUACUGGAAGAAAUCUUUCCCUCGAUUUGGAAUGCCCAAGGUAAUCUGGUCAGACAAUGGCCCUACUUUCGUUGCCAAGGUAAGCCAGGGUGUGGCCAAGUAUUUAGAGGUUGAUUGAAAAUUACAUUAUAUUUACAGACCUCAAAGUUCAGGACAGGUAGAGUAAAUAAAUAAAACUCUAAAAGAGACCCUGACCAAAUUAAAUUGACCAUGGAGACUGGCGCAGACUGGGUGACACUCCUUCCCUCUCGCUCUCUUCAGAGCAAGAAAUAUCCCUUCCAGAUUCAGCUUUACCCCCUUUGAGAUCUUAUAUGGGGCCUCAGAUCCUCUGACUGUAUUAGAUGAUGUUACUGAACCAACAUGUCAUAGUAAUAAUGAUUUAUGUGUCAGGCUAAAAGACCUACAGGUGAUACAGAAAGAAAUCUGCUCACAGCUGGCAGCAGCCUAUGCCCCAGGGACCUCCGAGACAUCUCAUCCGUUCCAGGUCGGAGACUGUAGGUACAUACAAUGACACGGAGCCCAGACACUCGAGCCUUGCUGGAAAGGACCGUACCUGAUGCUGCUGACCACCCUGACAGCCGUCAAUUCUCAGCCCUCACCAGCCGCAUACUAGCCGUUGGGGCUGAGAGCUGGGACCUAGAGGGACACUCAGAUCUUCAAAAAGCUCCCUAGACUUACACAUCAGAUAAGUGACUGGGAGGUUGUUAUAAUGCUCACUUGAGGAGUGUGCUUUAGAAACAAGAAUUUCAUGUUUGCCCUGGGUUCCAUCGAGAAAAAUAUAGAGAUAGGCUUGAUUUCUAUUACAAAUGAUGUAACAUUACAUAUGUUAAUACUCCUAACACUUCUUGGGACUGUGCCUCAGGGACCAUAAGUUUAAAAGUUCUAAGAUAGUCAUGACCUUGGUAUAUAGGUUUAGAUAGUGUUCAGAUUGGAAUCCUAAAGACUUUUUAGCUGACCUCCAAGAAUACCUAACCUCCCUCUCAGAGGUAGUCCUUCAAAAUAGAAGAUUAGACCUGAUAUUCCUUAAAGAAAGAAUGUGCUGCUUUGAGAGAAGAAUGUUGUUUUUACCUCGAUCACUCCGGGACCAUUAAAGAUUCUAUGGCUAAACUUAGGGAGAGGUUGGACAAGAGACGACGAGAACGAGAAACCACUGAUAACUGGUUUCAAAGCUGGUUCGAUAGGUCCCCAUGGCUUACCACCCUGCUGUCAGCUUUAGCUGGUCCCUUGAUUAUCCUCCUCCUUUUGCUCACUGUUGGGCCCUACAUCAUUAACCGCCUUUUUGCUUUUAUUAGGGAACGGAUUAGUGCUAUACAAGUCCUUAUGUUGAGACAACAGUAUCGGGCUGUACGGAGUGAAGAGCCACUAGACGCUAGAUUCAUCAUGGAGUCCUAAGAUUAGGACUAUUCACAAGGAGUAGAGGGGAAUGAAGGGUUAAAAUUUCUAAAAGUUAGUCAUGAACAAAGUCCAGACAUGCCUGAGAGAAUUUGAGAUAGGGCUCACUGGCCCGACUAUCAACUCCCAAGGACACUGGCCAUCUGGAGCCACCCCCUCCCCUUCCUUCACUCCCUGAGGAUGGGUCAUCCCCCUGCUGCAGUGAGAUGAGUUGCCCUGCCCACAUUGCUGAGAUGCUAGAUUACACGUAUGCUUUGUUGAUGUAACUCCGUGCCAAAAGUAACUGUGCACCCUUUGUAUUAGCCAAUUAUGUGUAUUCACACGAAACCCCUGGUUUUCCCUAUAUAAGCUCCUGCCUAGAGAGGCUCGGGGCUUGACUCAAUCUCCUGUGUGAGAUACGUGUCAGCCCGAGAUCUCGUAAAUAAAACUGCCUCUUGUUGAUUACAUCAA